ensembl:snRNA U6 U6 spliceosomal RNA
GUGCUCGCUUUGGCAGCACAUAUACUAAAAUCGGAACGAUACAGAGAAGAUUAGCAUGGCCCCUGCGCAAGGAGGACACGGAAAGUGUUCCAUAUUUUU